rnacentral:rRNA from 1 species
AGAGUUUGAUCAUGGCUCAGGACGAACGCUGGCGGCGUGCCUAAUACAUGCAAGUAGAACGCUGAAGAGAGGAGCUUGCUCUUCUUGGAUGAGUUGCGAACGGGUGAGUAACGCGUAGGUAACCUGCCUUGUAGCGGGGGAUAACUAUUGGAAACGAUAGCUAAUACCGCAUAACAAUGGAUGACCCAUGUCAUUUAUUUGAAGGGGCAAAUGCUCCACUACAAGAUGGACCUGCGUUGUAUUAGCUAGUAGGUGAGGUAACGGCUCACCUAGGCGACGAUACAUAGCCGACCUGAGAGGGUGAUCGGCCACACUGGGACUGAGACACGGCCCAGACUCCUACGGGAGGCAGCAGUAGGGAAUCUUCGGCAGUGGGGGCAACCCUGACCGAGCAACGCCGCGUGAGUGGAGAAGGUUUUCGGAUCGUAAAGCUCUGUUGUAAGUCAAGAACGAGUGUGAGAGUGGAAAAUUCACACUGUGACGGUAGCUUACCAGAAAGGGACGGCUAACUACGUGCCAGCAGCCGCGGUAAUACGUAGGUCCCGAGCGUUGUCCGGAUUUAUUGGGCGUAAAGCGAGCGCAGGCGGUUUGAUAAGUCUGAAGUUAAAGGCUGUGGCUCAACCAUAGUUCGCUUUGGAAACUGUCAAACUUGAGUGCAGAAGGGGAGAGUGGAAUUCCAUGUGUAGCGGUGAAAUGCGUAGAUAUAUGGAGGAACACCGGUGGCGAAAGCGGCUCUCUGGUCUGUAACUGACGCUGAGGCUCGAAAGCGUGGGGAGCGAACAGGAUUAGAUACCCUGGUAGUCCACGCCGUAAACGAUGAGUGCUAGGUGUUGGAUCCUUUCCGGGAUUCAGUGCCGCAGCUAACGCAUUAAGCACUCCGCCUGGGGAGUACGACCGCAAGGUUGAAACUCAAAGGAAUUGACGGGGGCCCGCACGAGCGGUGGAGCAUGUGGUUUAAUUCGAAGCAACGCGAAGAACCUUACCAGGUCUUGACAUCCCGAUGCUAUUUCUAGAGAUAGAAAGUUACUUCGGUACAUCGGUGACAGGUGGUGCAUGGUUGUCGUCAGCUCGUGUCGUGAGAUGUUGGGUUAAGUCCCGCAACGAGCGCAACCCCUAUUGUUAGUUGCCAUCAUUCAGUUGGGCACUCUAGCGAGACUGCCGGUAAUAAACCGGGGGAAGGUGGGGAUGACGUCAAAUCAUCAUGCCCCUUAUGACCUGGGCUACACACGUGCUACAAUGGUUGGUACAACGAGUUGCGAGUCGGUGACGGCAAGCUAAUCUCUUAAAGCCAAUCUCAGUUCGGAUUGUAGGCUGCAACUCGCCUACAUGAAGUCGGAAUCGCUAGUAAUCGCGGAUCAGCACGCCGCGGUGAAUACGUUCCCGGGCCUUGUACACACCGCCCGUCACACCACGAGAGUUUGUAACACCCGAAGUCGGUGAGGUAACCUUUUGGAGCCAGCCGCCUAAGGUGGGAUAGAUGAUUGGGGUGAAGUCGUAACAAGGUA